rnacentral:rRNA from 1 species
UAGGGAAUCUUCCGCAAUGGACGCAAGUCUGACGGAGCAACGCCGCGUGAGUGAAGAAGGAUUUCGGUUCGUAAAACUCUGUUGUUAGAGAAGAAAAGCGCAUAGAGUAACUGUUAUGCGUGUGACGGUAUCUAACCAGAAAGCCACGGCUAACUACGUGCCAGCAGCCGCGGUAAUACGUUGGUGGCAAGCGUUGUCCGGAUUUAUUGGGCGUAAAGCGAGCGCAGGCGGUCAAUUAAGUCUGAUGUGAAAGCCCCCGGCUCAACCGGGGAGGGUCAUUGGAAACUGGUUGACUUGAGUGCAGAAGAGGAGAGUGGAAGUCCAUGUGUAGCGGUGAAAUGCGUAAGUAUAUGAAGGAACACCAGUGAAGAGGGCGACUCUCUGGUCUGUAACUGAAGCUGAGGCUCAAAAGCGUGGGUAGCAAACAGG